rnacentral:sRNA from 1 species
UGCCCCUGCUCAUUCGGGGCCGUCUCCACCGCAAAAGCAAAACGGCCCGGCAGGGAUUGCCGGGCCAUUUUUUUCUGACAG